AUUGAACGCUGGCGGCAGGCCUAACACAUGCAAGUCGAGCGGUAGCACAGGAGAGCUUGCUCUCCGGGUGACGAGCGGCGGACGGGUGAGUAAUGUCUGGGAAACUGCCUGAUGGAGGGGGAUAACUACUGGAAACGGUAGCUAAUACCGCAUAACGUCGCAAGACCAAAGAGGGGGACCUUCGGGCCUCUUGCCAUCAGAUGUGCCCAGAUGGGAUUAGCUAGUAGGUGGGGUAACGGCUCACCUAGGCGACGAUCCCUAGCUGGUCUGAGGGGAUGACCAGCCACACUGGAACUGAGACACGGUCCAGACUCCUACGGGAGGCAGCAGUGGGGAAUAUUGCACAAUGGGCGCAAGCCUGAUGCAGCCAUGCCGCGUGUAUGAAGAAGGCCUUCGGGUUGUAAAGUACUUUCAGCGGGGAGGAAGGUGUUGUGGUUAAUAACCACAGCAAUUGACGUUACCCGCAGAAGAAGCACCGGCUAACUCCGUGCCAGCCGCCGCAGUAACAC
rnacentral:rRNA from 1 species